CCCGAAAGGGGAUGGUUGUCUGCAAAUAUUAAAUUCCGAUUCUAUCCUUUUGUUUUUAAUGACUAAUGUAACCUCUAUGUGAUGAUAAUGUGAUUGAGGAAUGAAGGGUAAAAUGGUAAAGAGAGAAAAAGAGGAGUGAGGAGGGGACAAGAAAGCGGCAUUCCAAGUCGGUUUGCCGGGUGGUGAAUGGGACAUCUAACCUCUUCCACUUU